rnacentral:misc_RNA from 1 species
GGCCUCAAACGCUAGUUAAGCCAACCCUAAGUCCUCUUCAAACUGCAUAUGGGCUAUUUUGUUCAACCAAGGGGAAAAAUUCCCUUAACUGAGGAUCGGAUAAGGGAAAUUCUCAAGCAAUGUGACACUAAUCAAGAUGAAAUUCUCAGCAGGAAAGAGCUUCAAGAAUCCUUCAAGCAAUUUGGUUCAAAUCACCCUCAUUUGAGGGCGAUUGAUGCGUUAAUCCAUGCUGAUGCCAACCUCAAUUUCCAGAUCGACUCCAAUGAGAUAAAAGCCCUUGUUGAAUUCAUCACCAAACGUGAAUACAACUACACACCUUCCUAGAAUAUAAAGGUUGCCUUAAUUGCAAUACUGUGCUAAUGUUUAUUAUUUAUUAGCAACUUUCUCUUUCUAUGUUGCCGACCUACCAGGUCAUAACCCUCUGCCUAUGUGUCGUGCCUUAUCUAUCUAUAUCUAUCUAAAGGAAAGCGAAGUUUCUUUUAUUUUCAUGUUUUCUUUUCCAUUUUUUAUUACUUCUUUACUUUGGUUGGUAAUCUUUUUAUAGGAAAGGGAAAGGAACUUUUUUUUAUGUAGUAUUAUGUUUUUUUCUUCCUUUUUUCUUCACUUAGUAUCUAUUGCAUCAGAUUAAAUUUUUUAAGAGGCCUAUUAGCAGGAUAUAGUUAAGCAAUAUUUGCUAAAUUUUC